rnacentral:rRNA from 1 species
GCGGCGUGCUUAACACAUGCAAGUCGAACGCUGAAGCUCCAGCUUGCUGGGGUGGAUGAGUGGCGAACGGGUGAGUAACACGUGAGUAACCUUCCCUUGACUCUGGGAUAAGCCCGGGAAACUGGGUCUAAUACCGGAUAUGACCUCCUAUCGCAUGGUGGGGGGUGGAAAGAUUUAUCGGUCUUGGAUGGACUCGCGGCCUAUCAGCUUGUUGGUGAGGUAAUGGCUCACCAAGGCGACGACGGGUAGCCGGCCUGAGAGGGUGACCGGCCACACUGGGACUGAGACACGGCCCAGACUCUACGGGAGGCAGCAGUGGGGAAUAUUGCACAAUGGGCGCAAGCCUGAUGCAGCGACGCCGCGUGAGGGAUGACGGCUUCGGGUUGUAAACCUCUUUCAGUAGGGAAGAAGCUUCGGGUGACGGUACCUGCAGAAGAAGCGCCGGCUAACUACGUGCCAGCAGCCGCGGUAAUACGUAGGGCGCGAGCGUUAUCCGGAAUUAUUGGGCGUAAAGAGCUCGUAGGCGGUUUGUCGCGUCUGCCGUGAAAGUCCGGGGCUUAACCCCGGAUCUGCGGUGGGUACGGGCAGACUAGAGUGCAGUAGGGGAGACCGGAAUUCCUGGUGUAGCGGUGAAAUGCGCAGAUAUCAGGAGGAACACCGAUGGCGAAGGCAGGUCUCUGGGCUGUUACUGACGCUGAGGAGCGAAAGCAUGGGGAGCGAACAGGAUUAGAUACCCUGGUAGUCCAUGCCGUAAACGUUGGGCACUAGGUGUGGGGGACAUUCCACGUUUUCCGCGCCGCCAURACGCAUUAAGU